rnacentral:tRNA from 1 species
ACCUGGCUGGCUCAGUCAGUGGAGCGUGUGACUCUUGAUCUUGGGGUUGUAAGUUCGAGCCUCACGUGAGGUG